GGACGGGUGCAAGAGUGGCUGAAUUGGCACGCCUGGAAAGCGUGUGUACCUUUGCGGGUACCGAGGGUUCGAAUCCCUCCCCUUCCG
rnacentral:tRNA from 1 species